rnacentral:rRNA from 1 species
AUGGAGAGUUUGAUCCUGGCUCAGGAUGAACGCUAGCUACAGGCCUAACACAUGCAAGUCGAGGGGAAACGAAGCGGGAGCUUGCUUCUGCUGUCGUCGACCGGCGCACGGGUGAGUAACGCGUAUCCAACCUGGCCUGAGGUAAGGGAUAAUCCGCAGAAAUGUGGUCUAAUACCUUAUGUGCUCCUAUGAGGCCAUCUGAAGANNNNNNNNAGGAGCAAAGAUUUAUCGCCUUAGGAUGGGGAUGCGUCUGAUUAGAUAGUUGGCGGGGCAACGGCCCACCAAGUCAUCGAUCAGUAGGGGUUCUGAGAGGAAAGUCCCCCACAUUGGAACUGAGACACGGUCCAGACUCCUACGGGAGGCAGCAGUGAGGAAUAUUGGUCAAUGGGCGAGAGCCUGAACCAGCCAAGUAGCGUGCAGGAUGACGGCCCUAUGGGUUGUAAACUGCUUUUAUGCGGGUAUAAAGGAGCAUACGUGUAUGUUUUUGCAGUUACCGCAUGAAUAAGGACCGGCUAAUUCCGUGCCAGCAGCCGCGGUAAUACGGAAGGUUCUGGUGUUAUCCGGAUUUAUUGGGUUUAAAGGGAGCGCAGGCUGUCAGAUAAGCGUGUUGUGAAAUGCGGUUGCUCAACAUCCGCACUGCAGCGCGAACUGUUUGACUUGAGUACGCACGACGUUGGUGGAAUUUGCCGUGUAGCGGUGAAAUGCUUAGAUAUGGCGAAGAACUCCGAUUGCGAAGGCAGCUGACGGGAGCGCUACUGACGCUCAUGCUCGAAAGUGCGGGUAUCGAACAGGAUUAGAUACCCUGGUAGUCCGCACGGUAAACGCUGGAUGCCCGCUAUAUGCCCNNNNNNNNNNUUAGGGUAUGUGGCCAAGUGAAAACGUUAAGCAUCCCACCUGGGGAGUACGCCGGCAACGGUGAAACUCAAAGGAAUUGACGGGGGCCCGCACAAGCGGAGGAACAUGUGGUUUAAUUCGAUGAUACGCGAGGAACCUUACCCGGGCUUGAAUUGCUGAGGAAGGCUUCAGAGAUGGAGCUGCCCUUCGGGGCUUCAGUGAAGGUGCUGCAUGGUUGUCGUCAGCUCGUGCCGUGAGGUGUCGGCUUAAGUGCCAUAACGAGCGCAACCCUUUUCUUCAGUUGCCAUCAGGUAGUGCUGGGCCCUCUGGAGAUACUGCCGCCGUAAGGUGUGAGGAAGGUGGGGAUGACGUCAAAUCAGCACGGCCCUUACGUCCGGGGCUACACACGUGUUACAAUGGGUGGUACAGCGAGCAGGGUUACCGCAAGGUAUCCCGAAUCAUUAAAUCCGCCCUCAGUUCGGACUGGGGUCUGCAACCCGACCCCACGAAGCUGGAUUCGCUAGUAAUCGCGCAUCAGCCAUGGCGCGGUGAAUACGUUCCCGGGCCUUGUACACACCGCCCGUCAAGCCAUGAAAGCCGGGGGUGCCUGAAGUCCGUGACCGCAAGGAUCGGCCUAGGGCAAAACUGGUAAUUGGGGCUAAGUCGUAACAAGGUAGCCGUACCGGAAGGUGCGGCUGGAACACCUCCUUU